UCCGAUAUGGUGUAAUGGCUAACAUCCGGCACUCUCAUGUUUGGCUCCAAAUCAAAUAAAGGUUCUGCCGAGCUCGGGGUUCGAUUCCCCGUAUCGGAG